CUCAGCUUCCCUAGUAGCUGGGACUACAGGUGUGCACCUCCAUGCCUGGCUAAUUUCAAAAGAAAAUUUCUUGUCAACACUGGAUCUUUCUAUGUUGCUCAGGCUGGUUUCGAAAUCCCAGCCUCAAGUGAUCCUCCUGCCUCAGCCUCCCAAAGUGCUGAGAUUAUAAGCAUGAGCCACUGCCCUGUGGGCCCAGAUGUGCUUAGGGGUGAGAUUAUAAGCAUGAGCCACUGCCCUGUGGGCCCAGAUGUGCUUAGGGGAAAGUACUUUGU
rnacentral:lncRNA from 1 species